rnacentral:rRNA from 1 species
AUGAACGCUGGCGGCGUGCCUAAUACAUGCAAGUCGAGCGAACGGACGAGAAGCUUGCUUCUCUGAUGUUAGCGGCGGACGGGUGAGUAACACGUGGAUAACCUACCUAUAAGACUGGGAUAACUUCGGAAACCGGGGCUAAAACCGGAAAAUAUUUUGAAACGGAUGGUUCAAAAAGGAAAAACGGUCUUGCUGGCAAUUAUAGAUGGAACCGCGCUGCAUUAGGUAGUUGGUAAGGUAACGGCUUACCAAGGCAACGAUGCAUAGCCGACCUGAGAGGGUGAUCGGCCACACUGGAACUGAGACACGGUCCAGACUCCUACGGGAGGCAGCAGUAGGGAAUCUUCCGCAAUGGGCGAAAGCCUGACGGAGCAACGCCGCGUGAGUGAUGAAGGUCUUCGGAUCGUAAAACUCUGUUAUUAGGGAAGAACAUAUGUGUAAGUAACUGUGCACAUCUUGACGGUACCUAAUCAGAAAGCCACGGCUAACUACGUG